rnacentral:rRNA from 1 species
AUGGACACUAUAGAAGCGGUCAGCGAGAAUGCUUUGGAUGCAAUAGUAGACGUACAGGAUCUGGAGGAGGGUGAGAUUCCUCCGGAGCCUGAUCAUGUCCUCCAAGAGUUUCCAGUUACUCACAGCAAUAUCAUGCAUGAGCUUACGGCUGAUGGACUUGAUGAAAAGAUCUCAGUGAACAUGCUGCAGCGCAAGGGGGAGAGUGUAUCAUGGGAAGUUGUUGAAGAUCUCAAGGUGAUGAACAAAUGCGAAGGCAGUUCACCCAAGGCUGCUAGUAAACCUUCUGCUGAAGGUCCUCUGAAAGAACAUCUUGGGGAUACUACAGAAGCGGUCAGCAAGAAUGCUUUGGAUGUGAUAGUAGAGGUACAGGAAUUGGAAGAAGGUGAGAUUCGUACGGAGCCUGACCAUGUCCUCCAAGAGAACCCAGUUACUCACAACAAUAGCCUGCAUGAGCUUACAGCUGGUACCCUUGAGUGUGUUGUGCCGUCAAUGGUAGAUGCGGAACCUUCUGUGAGGCAUUUUUCUAAUGAGAAGAUCCCUGUGAACAUGCUGGAGCACAAGGGAGAGAGUGUAUCAUGGGAAGUUGCUGAAGAUCUCAAGGUGAUGAACAAAUGCGAAGGCAAUUCACCCAAGGGUGCAUGUAAACCUCCUCCUGAAGAUCCUCUGAAAGAAUAUCUUGGGGAUAAGAAAGUGUCUGAAAGUUGUAGCAUGAAAAGUGCACCUCUUGAUGUGGAAGCAGGGGUACAUGGCGACGGUAUCAUGAGACGUAUGGUAACAUUCACAGCUAGAAAACCUUCUCCUGAACAAGGCAAUCCAUCCAAGGGUGCUAGUAAACCUUCUCCUGAAGAUCCUCUGAAAGAAUAUCUUGGGGAUAAGGAAGUGUCUGAAAGUUAUAGCAUGAAAAGGGCAUCUCUUGAUGUGGCAGCAGGGGUACAUGGCGACGGUAUCAUGAGACGUAUGGUAUCAUUCACAGCUAGAAAAACAUUUCGGUUACCUGUUGAAGCAAAUCAUAAGUCCGCGCUGGUUAAUCUGGAUAGACCGUGUUCUAUGGGCAAGGAGAAGGAGUCCGUUGUCACUAUGAGCGAAUCCUUUGCUCCCAGGAAGAAGUUAAAGAUAAAAGGUCCAGCUCAAAGUAAAUAUCUUCCCAUGAAUACCAUUUCUAGCAAGGAAAAAUUGAAGCAUGAAGAGGCUUCCCACUUGGAAGAUGAUGAAGUUUUGAAUGCAAUAGCUGUUCAUGAAGGAAAGUUUGAGAUGUACCUCAAUGAUCCCUCAUGGCGUCACAUGCAACAUGGUGGUCAGACCGCUGAUGCUCGGAGCAAAGUCAGGAUGAUUUGCAGAAGGUUUCAGUUUAUAUGCAGGACUCUCGUUCAAGCUGUGGAACAAGGUUCGCUGAAGAGCCGUAGAAUUGAUCUUGCCGCUGAUAAGCUAAUCAGAAAAUUACCGGGCUUUACCAAGCAGGGGCCUAUUGUAGGUAAAGUUCCUGGUGUUGAAAUUGGUGAUGAAUGUUUAUACAGAGUAGAGUUGGCCAUUGUUGGUCUUCACCGCCCAUACCAAGGAGGCAUUGACACCACAAAGGAUAUUAAUGAUAUGCCUAUUGCCAUAAGCAUUGUUGCGUCUGGAGGUUACCCUGACGACUUGUCGAGCUCAGGUGAAAUAAUAUACACUGGCUCUGGAGGAAAGCCUGCUGGCAAAAAGGAGAAUGAGGAUCAAAAGCUUGUGCGCGGGAACCUUGCCCUGAAGAAUUGUAUCAAAACAAAGACGCCUGUCCGAGUAAUUCAUGGUUUUAAAGGUCCAAAUAGAGAGGAAGGUAGUCAUUCAAAGGCCAAAGAAGUCUCAGUAUUUACUUACGAUGGGCUCUAUCAUGUGGUGCAGUGCUGGCAAGAAGGUCUACCAGGUUCAAGGGUCUUCAAAUACAGGUUGCAGAGGAUUUCUGGACAACCAGAGUUACCUCUGCAUGUUGCUAAAGUGUUGAGAAAGUCUGCAGCGCGUCCUGGCCUAUGCAUAGCAGAUAUAUCGCAAGGGAAGGAGAAGAUCCCCAUCUGUGUGGUCAAUAAUAUUGAUGCUGCACAUCCAGCAUCAUUUAAAUACAUUACUAGAAUCAAAGGUUCAUCCUUAGCUGCAAAAAGAAGUCAUCAGGGUUGUGACUGCACCAAUGGCUGCUCAGAUUCUGCUAGCUGUGCUUGUGCUGUGAAGAAUGGAGGAGAAUUCCCAUUUAACUUCAAUGGUGCAGUUGUCCAUGCAAAGCCCCUCAUAUAUGAGUGUGGUCCAUCCUGUAGGUGCCCUCCUUCAUGCCAUAGCAGGGUCAGCCAGCAUGGUAUGAAAAUACCACUGGAAGUAUUCAGAACAACAAAGACAGGUUGGGGUGUAAGAUCCCUAAGGUCCAUCUCUGCUGGCAGCUUUAUAUGUGAGUAUGUUGGCGAGCUGUUGCAUAGCGACGAGGCUAACCAGAGAAUGAAUGACGAAUACUUGUUCGACAUAGGACAUAACUAUGAUAUCUGGAAAGGGAUGCCAUCAGUUGUUCCAGGUCUGAGUUCUUCUGCCCCUCGCUCUGUGAUCAUGGACGAUGAUAGGGCCUUCACAAUAGACGCAGCUGAGUAUGGUAAUAUUGGAAGAUUCAUCAACCAUAGCUGUUCACCAAACCUCUACGCACAAAAUAUUCUUUGGGACCAUGGCGAGAAAAGAGUGCCGCAUAUCAUGUUCUUUGCUGCUGAGAAUAUUUCACCUCUACAGGAGCUGACUUAUGACUAUAAUUACGAAAUAGAUCAUGUUCGUGACAUGAAUGGCGAAGUAAAAGUCAAAUACUGCCAUUGUGGUUCUCCACAGUGCCGCGACAGGCUUUAUUAA